GACGAACGCUAGCGGCGUGCUUUAAGCAUGCAAGUAGAGCGAGGUGUAGCAAUACACCGAGCUGCGAACGGCUGAGUAACACGUAAGAACUUACCCCAUGGUGGUGAAUACCUCGUCGAAAGACGAGCUAAUACAGCAUAACCUCCUGCUUGCAGGAGAAAAGCCCUUUACCGGGCGCCGAGGGAGAGGCUUGCGGCCUAUCAGUUAGUUGGUGGGGUAAUGGCCUACCAAGACUACGACGGGUAGGGGAGAUGAGAGUCUGACCCCCCAGAAUGGGACUGAGACACGGCCCAUACACCUACGGGUGGCAGCAACUGGGAAUCGUGCGCAAUGGACGAAAGUCUGACGCCGCGACGCCGCGUGAAGGAUGAAGGUUUUAGGAUCGUAAACUUCUUUUGCCAAGUAUGAGAGUGCUUGGAGAAUAAGCACCGGCUAACUCCGUGCCAGCAGCAGCGGUAAUACGGAGGGUGCAAGCGUUGUCCGGAUUUAUUGGGCGUAAAGAGUUCGUAGGCGUUCCAUUAAGUUAUCUUUCAAAGACCGAGGCUCAACUUCGGAAGGGGGGGUAAUACUGGUGGAAUUGAAAGGUUUCGGGGCUACUGGAACUGUCGGUGUAGGAGUGAAAUCCGUUGAUAUCGACGGGAACACCCAGGGCGAAGGCGGGUAGCUAGGAACAUUUUGACGCUGAGGAACGAAAGCUAGGGGAGCGAAAGGGAUUAGAGACCCCUGUAGUCCUAGCCGUAAACGAUGCUCGCUAGGGAUAGGACUCGCCGAGAACAUGUUCUCGGUAAUUUUCAAUUAACAAAUUUUCAAUUUUCAAUGAAUUUGAAAUGUUUAAAGGUUCAAUAAUUAAAACAUUAAGAAUUGAUUUUAAAUUUUAAAUUAAAAAUUAGAAAUUGCCAAAACAUACAUGUUUUGGGCGAGUUCUGUUCCGCAAGCUAACGCGUGAAGCGAGCCGCCUGGGGAGUACGAGCGCAAGCUUAAAACUCAAAGGAAUUGACGGGGACCCGCACAACCAGUGGAGCAUGUGGUUUAAUUCGAGACGAACCGAAGAACCUUACCGGGGUUUGACAUUCUAGUUGCACGUCCGCAGAGAUGUGGAUUUCUUAGAGAGUACUAGAACAGGUGUUGCAUGGCUGUCGUCAGUUCGUGCCGUGGGGUGUUCCCUUCAGUGGGGUAACGAACGCAACCCCUGCCGUAUGUUAAAUAUUCAUACGGGACUACCCAAUUUAUUUGGGAGGAAGUGGGGAUGAUGUCAAGUCAGCAUGGCCCUUAUGUCCCGGGCGACACACAUGCUACAAUGGAGCCGACAAAGG
rnacentral:rRNA from 1 species